GUUGAUGUAGCUUAUAAUAAAGCAAGGCACUGAAAAUGCCUAGAUGAGUGCUUUACUCCAUAAACA
rnacentral:tRNA from 1 species